ensembl:lncRNA
AUUCAAGAAUUCAUUAUUUUGUGGGAAAACCAGGGGCUGCGGAAGAAGUUUAUGACAACGAACCCAUCAUAUUUGUGGUUCGAUGUGUGCCCUUCAUCAUGUUACUGCUGGCUGUGUUCUUUCUGAACAGAGGCAAAAAGAAUAAAAGACCAAGAGCAGGUCCACAAACAGCAGAAAAGGAAGACUUAGUCGUGGAGGAGGAGAACGAACAAAAAGGACGAGAUCAACUCGGACAAGAAAGAAACGAAGAAUAGAGGGAUAGACAACUAGGACAGGAAAGAGGAGUGGAAACUGAGAAGGAAUUAACGGCAGAGGAAGGAGACGUGAAAUAGAGAGCUGAGCAAACACAGGGAAGAGAAGUGGACGUGGUGAAAGAUUAACAGGACAAGAAAGAGACUUGAACAAGAGAAGUGAGGAAUUGAAUUAAUGUGUUGAAUUAGCAGAUUCAUGUAAGUGCUAGAAAUCAUGAUUCUUUAAACAACACCCUCGUCCGGAGGGAGGGUCGGAAACAAUGCACUAGCUUGUUUAUUGGCAACUCAUGUGGUAGUAUAACACAUACUGAAAACAAUAACUAACCACAGAGGCUCACAUGUAUGCAAAUUAGUGUUCCUUAUACAGAAGGAAGUCGCCUCAAGAGUCAGUCGGUCCAGUGUCCCAACAACCCAAACUGCAACACAAAACAUUUACGUCUCAGUCCAGGAUAAAGGCUUUAAUGUGCAGUGGUAGCCAGCAGUACAGAGUCUCUUGCAGGUUUCUUGCACCUGGCGUAGCUGCUCUUUGAUAAAGUCUUGAACAGCCUUGUUGUUCAGUGAGGCCUGUGCACAACUUGGGCUGUUCUUACAUAGACUUCUAACAUUCACAGCAAUGGCAAAGCUCCUCAGCACAAGGAAUGGGAGCCUCCGUCCCGACCCCUUUCACCCCCCGUCCCUUUUCCUCUAUACUGCUAUCGCCGAGUUUAGAGGUAAGGCCCGGGCAGAUGUGCUGGCAUUGUAGUGAGCUGGGACAUUUCCCAGACUAAUGCGCAUGUUGGAGUUGGAGUCAGUGAUCCAGAUUCACACAGACACCAUUGAUUUCACCCCACUCAAGUUUGGACAUACUGCAUACUUUAGCUGUGAGCAUUCUAGGGGGAACAUAACACACAUUACUGGAUUCAAUUUGGCUUAAACCUUUGUUAUUUGAAGUGUGAGAGUUCCUGCAAACCUCCAGUGGGUUUUCCCCAUUUAAAUGACUAUACGGGCUCUCAGAAGCACUCAGAACUCCAACCUGAUCAAGGGUGUGGUCAGUGCAGGGCAACACAUAGCAGUCCUGCUUGGUGAUGGCAUGGAGGUGGCAGUAAUCCACACAGAACCCCAAGAUGCUAUUCUUGACUAGUACAGCUCGGACCACCCAGUGUCUAUUCAAUGGCUCAAUCAUCUCAUUUACCUUUGGCUCUGCCAUUUGCUUCUUCUCCAACGGGUCUGUAGUGCGAUGGGGUGGGCGUGGGGGGUCCCUCGAGUGGUCUUGUCUACCACCUUGUGCUCUCUCCCUUGUCCGUGUCAGUUGUGGAUGAAAGGAGCAGUCAAAAUGAACAGGAAAUGAGUUAUUGUGUUAUUAACUGCAGCUUACUUGUAUGCUUCUAUCAGUAGACUGCCAGUGACCAAAGAGAGACGACAGCAGGAAGAGAGACGAAGAAAGACUAGUGGAUGAGAUUAUGAUUGGUUUAGUGGUUAGUGUGAGCCAGACUGUGCUCUGUUUUGAAAGUGUGCACUAUUUUGUGUAUUUUUGUACCCAAAGUAAAGAUAAAAAGAGCUCUCAACUCAUACACCUGUUUCUUCCCGUGUUCUUAGAGUAAAAAACGUCAUUCUUGGUUGUACAUAAAAUAAAUCUGGGGUUAUUUUGUUUGUGUGUUUGUACAAAACUGUAUUAAAUGUGUCUGACAAACAGGAACAAAACUCAGCCAUGAUCAAGACUCUUAGUGUUUUGUGGUCAGC